CCGUCAGUUAGGUUUCAGGUUGAGUUUCGACUUCGAUCGUUGUCGCUUUCGGUUUCUUGGUUUGGACUUCGAUUUCGGCUGGGCUCGGGCUCCGACUUGGAGGACGCAGAUACUAAUGAAGUGCUCGCUGGUCCUCUAGUGGUAUCCGUAUCUGUAGCUGGGCCCCCGGGGCGUUGUCGGAUGCAUUUGGCAAAUAAAACACCUACCGACAAGCCCGAUACGCCAGAUAUAUGGCAGAUAGGAGGAGGCCCAGCGUGCCGUCCACACAAAAGGACAACCGACAACCGAGUCGACUGCAACUGCUGCCAAGGAUUAAAAGGAUGAGCAAGUUGGACAGGAUGGGCAGAAUGAGCAGAAUGGGCCCAAACAGUAGGAGCCCAUGGAGAGGACAGUCUCGAGUGAGAGAACUGCAGCUCCGUAUCGAGAACUGCAGGGCAAUUAGAACAUUAUCAGGCGGCAAUAAUCGGCUCGUUUGCACCCAAGUGUCGUCCUGUCGUAAUAAUAAAAGGACAUCUCUCCAUCUCGUGGGGCAUUGGUAAAAACAACAGGACAUCUACAACUCGGUCCCAGUCACAGUCACCGUCUGUUUCUGUCCCUGUAUCUGGUGCAUUUCUGUUUUCCAUUUUCCAUUUACCAUUUUCAAUUUUCCAAAACCCAGAUAGGCAGGCGACAAUGUCGGCGGCGACAGUCGGGCAUCAAAGUCGAUUAUCACAAUUUUCGGGAUUUGCCUUAAAUCACGCACCAGCAGUCGGAACAACUCAAUUAAAAUUC
ensembl:ncRNA lncRNA:CR45059 long non-coding RNA:CR45059